rnacentral:lncRNA from 1 species
AAGAUUCACAUGUGAGAUCUACUACUUCUUCACCAGCACUUUCCUCCAGUUCUAUUGGCUCUCCUUCUGAAGCCAUCUCUGUGGUAGAAGCUAUCAGUCUGCUUCGUUUCUGAGAUUGCCUAGAGUUAGCUGAUCCUCCACGGCGCUUUCUUGGAGUUGUACUCAUGGCGUUUCUUGAUCUAGAGUUACAGAAAAAAUAAGAGGUACAAAUACCAUAAAAUUAAAUGCAAGGAAGCUACAAUUUUCAAUUCCUUAUAUUUCUUUAGGUAGUACACUGUUAAAAAGUCCAGAUUUCUCAGUAUCUUAGAAUGACGUUCUUCCAAACCUUCCGCCGCCGGCCCGGCAACGGCGUAGAACGGCGCUCGCCCCC